UACAGAGGUCCCAAGCGUUGUUCGGAUUCACUGGGCGUAAAGGGUGCGUAGGCGGUCGGGUAAGUCUGAUGUGAAAUCUCACAGCUUAACUGUGAAACUGCAUUGGAUACUAUCCGGCUCGAGGAAUGGAGGGGAGACUGAAAUACUUGGUGUAGCAGUGAAAUGCGUAGAUAUCAAGUGGAACACCAGUGGCGAAGGCGAGUCUCUGGACAUUUCCUGACGCUGAGGCACGAAAGCCAGGGGAGCAAACGGG
rnacentral:rRNA from 1 species